rnacentral:rRNA from 1 species
UACGGGGGGGUGCAAACGUUGCUCGGAAUUAUUGGGCGUAAAGCGCACGUAGGCGGCCACUUAAGUUGGGUGUGAAAGCCCUCGGCUUAACCGAGGAAGUGCAUUCAAAACUGGGUGGCUUGAAUACUGGAGAGGAUGGCGGAAUUCCCGGUGUAGAGGUGAAAUGCGCAGAUAUCAGGAAGAACACCCGUGGCGAAGGCGGUUCUCUGGGACGGUACUGACGCUGAGACGCGAAAGCGUGGGGAGCGAACAGG